rnacentral:rRNA from 1 species
GUGAGGAAUAUUGCGCAAUGGACGAAAGUCUGACGCAGCCAUGCCACGUGAAGGAUUGACGGCCCUAUGGGUUGUAAACUUCUUUUGUAUAGGAAUAAACCCUCGUUCGUGAACGAGGCUGAAGGUACUAUAAGAAUAAGCACCGGCUAACUCCGUGCCAGCAGCCGCGGUAAUACGGAGGGUGCAAGCGUUAUCCGGAUUUAUUGGGUUUAAAGGGUCCGUAGGCGGAUCGUUAAGUCAGUGGUGAAAUCCUACCGCUCAACGGUAGAACUGCCAUUGAUACUGGCGAUCUUGAGUAUGUAUGAAGUUGGCGGAAUGUGUGGUGUAGCGGUGAAAUGCUUAGAUAUCACACAGAACACCGAUUGCGAAGGCAGCUGACUAAUACACAACUGACGCUGAGGGACGAAAGUGUGGGGAUCAAACAGGAUUAGAAACCCUGGUAGUCC